rnacentral:rRNA from 1 species
UAAGGAAUAUUGCGCAAUGGGCGAAAGCCUGACGCAGCGACGCCGCGUGGGGGAUGAAGGUCUUCGGAUUGUAAACCCCUUUCGGGAGGGAAGAUGGGAUGGGGUAACCCAUUCGGACGGUACCUCCAGAAGCAGCCACGGCUAACUUCGUGCCAGCAGCCGCGGUAAUACGAAGGUGGCAAGCGUUGUUCGGAUUUACUGGGCGUACAGGGAGCGUAGGCGGUUGGGUAAGCCCUCCGUGAAAUCUCCAGGCUUAACCUGGAAAGUGCAGAGGGGACUGCUCAGCUAGAGGAUGGGAGAGAAGCGCGGAAUUCCCGGUGUAGCGGUGAAAUGCGUAGAGAUCGGAAGGAAGGCCGGUGGCGAAGGCGGCGCUCUGGAACAUCUCUGACGCUGAGGCUCGAAAGCGUGGGGAGCAAACAGGAUUAGAUACCCUGGUAGUCCACGCCUUAAACGAUGGAUACUAAGUGUCGGCGGGUUACCGCCGGUGCCGCAGCUAACGCAGUAGGUAUCCCGCCUGGGAAGUACGGCCGCAAGGUUG